UACGUAGGGUGCAAGCGUUAAUCGGAAUUACUGGGCGUAAAGCGUGCGCAGGCGGUUAUGUAAGACAGUUGUGAAAUCCCCGGGCUCAACCUGGGAACUGCAUCUGUGACUGCAUAGCUAGAGUACGGUAGAGGGGGAUGGAAUUCCGCGUGUAGCAGUGAAAUGCGUAGAUAUGCGGAGGAACACCGAUGGCGAAGGCAACCCCCCUGGGCUGACACUGACGCUCAGGCACGAAAGCGUGGGGAGCAAACAGG
rnacentral:rRNA from 1 species